rnacentral:rRNA from 1 species
UAUCCUGUCUGAAUAUGGGGGGACCAUCCUCCAAGGCUAAAUACUCCUGACUGACCGAUAGUGAACCAGUACCGUGAGGGAAAGGCGAAAAGAACCCCGGCGAGGGGAGUGAAAAAGAACCUGAAACCGUGUACGUACAAGCAGUGGGAGCCCCACCACUAAGCCAGUGGUGAACUCCACAUCCGCAUCCUUUGCUGAGGAUACGGUUAACGGAGCGAAAGCGACGUUCAACCGCAAAACAAGCAGAGGGGGCUUAGUGGUGGGGUGACUGCGUACCUUUUGUAUAAUGGGUCAGCGACUUAUAUUCUGUAGCAAGGUUAACCGAAUAGGGGAGCCGGAGGGAAACCGAGUCUUAAUUGGGCGUUAAGUUGCAGGGUAUAGACCCGAAACCCGGUGAUCUAGCCAUGGGCAGGUUGAAGGUUGGGUAACACUAACUGGAGGACCGAACCGACUAAUGUUGAAAAAUUAGCGGAUGACCUGUGGCUGGGGGUGAAAGGCCAAUCAAACCGGGAGAUAGCUGGUUCUCCCCGAAAGCUAUUUAGGUAGCGCCUCGUGAAUUCAUCUCCGGGGGUAGAGCACUGUUUCGGCUAGGGGGCCAUCCCGGCUUACCAACCCGAUGCAAACUGCGAAUACCGGAGAAUGUUAUCACGGGAGACACACGGCGGGUGCUAACGUCCGUCGUGAAGAGGGAAACAACCCAGACCGCCAGCUAAGGUCCCAAAGUCAUGGUUAAGUGGGAAACGAUGUGGGAAGGCCCAGACAGCCAGGAUGUUGGCUUAGAAGCAGCCAUCAUUUAAAGAAAGCGUAAUAGCUCACUGGUCGAGUCGGCCUGCGCGGAAGAUGUAACGGGGCUAAACCAUGCACCGAAGCUGCGGCAGCGAACGUAUCACCCAAGACAACUUUACGGAGUUGACGAUUGACGGAGCGAAGCGACGUCAAAGCGUUCAUUAAAGUCGAGUUGGCUUAGGGAUACGUUCGUUGGGUAGGGGAGCGUUCUGUAAGCCUGUGAAGGUGUGUCGUGAGGCAUGCUGGAGGUAUCAGAAGUGCGAAUGCUGACAUAAGUAACGAUAAAGCGGGUGAAAAGCCCGCUCGCCGGAAGACCAAGGGUUCCUGUCCAACGUUAAUCGGGGCAGGGUGAGUCGACCCCUAAGGCGAGGCCGAAAGGCGUAGUCGAUGGGAAACGGGUUAAUAUUCCCGUACUUGGUGUUACUGCGAAGGGGGGACGGAGAAGGCUAUGUUGGCCGGGCGACGGUUGUCCCGGUUUAAGCGUGUAGGUGUGUGUUCCAGGUAAAUCCGGUUCACUUUAACACUGAGGCGUGACGACGAGGCACUACGGUGCUGAAGCAACAAAUGCCCUGCUUCCAGGAAAAGCCUCUAAGCAUCAGGUAACACGAAAUCGUACCCCAAACCGACACAGGUGGUCAGGUAGAGAAUACCAAGGCGCUUGAGAGAACUCGGGUGAAGGAACUAGGCAAAAUGGUGCCGUAACUUCGGGAGAAGGCACGCUGACACGUAGGUGAAGUGAUUUACUCAUGGAGCUGAAGUCAGUCGAAGAUACCAGCUGGCUGCAACUGUUUAUUAAAAACACAGCACUGUGCAAACACGAAAGUGGACGUAUACGGUGUGACGCCUGCCCGGUGCCGGAA